GGCAGCACAGCCCGGCAGAGGCAGGGGUGACAGGAGGAGGCAGCCUGGGCGGGCAGAGGCAGGGGAGGCCCUCGGGCGGCGGGAGCUGCGUGCCAGGGUCCCCGUGAGCAGAAGGCAGGGGAGCCCCGAAGCUGGGAGGAGCAGGGGACUUCCACACCGGGUUAUAGCUGCCCUUGUGGGGACCAGAAUGGGAUACUUGACCCGAGGGCAGUGGGGAGCCAUCGAAGAUUCUGGGGGAGGGUGCUCCUGGGAGCAGCCUCGCUGCCCCCCUCAACCGGGCUCCCCACUAAUGCAGGGCUGCGCCCACAGGCUACCGCUGUCUCCUUAGAACACUGUCGUAUCUGACCCAGAAGGGGAAACUGAGGCCCAGAGCGGUGCAGGAGCCCCUGGCCCAUCCAGGUCCCUGACCCGGGCUGGCACCGGCUCCUGUCUGGCAAGGCAGGGGCAGCCCGGGUCUUGCUGGGGGAGUGUGGAUUCCAUGCUGUUUGUGUGCGGGGCAGGGGUAGGGGCAGCCUGGAGGCGGCCAGGAUGUGGGAGGGUGCCGGAGGGCUGAGCCAUCUGAGGGUCAGAUUUUAUGAGCUGGAGGCAGCCCACGGCCGCUGAGUCACUGGCAGGGCUCGCCAGGCCUCGCUCGUACUCACUCUGAGGGCCGCGGGGCUCUAGCCUGGCGCGGGAAGGCUGGUUCCCAAAGAAACCUCGGGGAGAUUCUCUGGAAUGCCACAGACGCCAUGUGGAGAACUUGAGGCCCAGAGACGGACAGAGACCUGCUUAAAGCCACACAGCAAAUGGAUCGCUGCAGAUGCUGGCGGGAACCAGGCCUGGGCUUCCGUGUGGCAGCCCUAACUUUUGGGCCGCCUGAGUGACCGGAGCAGGGUUGUUUAAUCAUUCGUUCGACGCAGCGUCUGGGACCGUGAGAGCAGCCAUCCUCGUGGGUCCGCUGAGACUGUGGACCUGACCCUGGGCGAGCCUAGGGUGCUGUUUCCGGGUUUCCACGUGCAUCACCUCAUUUACACCACAGCCCUGAAAGCUUCCUGCUUAGCGUCAAGUCCCCUUGGGAGGCGUGCGUGCAACCCCCUCGCAUGUGUCCCGGCUGGGCUCUGGCGGCCGGAGGAGGAAGAAUUUCCAAACAGGAAGAGCUCACUUGGUGGCACCGUCUUCCCUGUGUCAAACAUCCCAAUCUGGCCUGGCUGAGGGGCAGGAGCCUGUCACCGGUCCCGCCGGCCCUCCUGGGAUCCGCACCGGCUCGGUUCAGCUUGGCUGUGGAGCCCACCCGCCCAGGUGGCCCGACCUCUUACAGGACUUAGAGGGGUGCCUCCGGGCGCCUGGGCUCUCUUUGCCGACCCUGGAGUGGGAGCAGGACCGGCAAGGGGGCAGCAGCCAUGCAGGGGCACUGUCGCAGCCGCCGCUAUUCUCUGCACAGCCCUGUCUACCUUCCCUCCCAGCAGAUAGUGAGCUCCCCGUCACUCUUGCGGGAUCUCAGUUCCCCGACCAGGCAUUGAACCCGGGCCACGGCAGUGAAAGCAUGGAGUCCUAACCGCUAGGCCACUAGGGAAUUCCGAAGCCCACUCAUUAAAAAAAAAAAAAUUACUUAUUUAUUCUGGCUGCGCCGUGUCUUCACGGUGGCACGCGGGAUCUUUUAGUUGCGGCACGCGAACUCUUAGUUGCGGCGUGCACGUGGGAUCUAGUUCCCCGACCGGGGAUCGAACCGGGCCCCUGCAUUGGGAGCGUGGAGUCUUAGCCCCUGGACCGCCAGGGAAGUCCUUGCCCACUCAUUUUGAAAAUGGGCAGGCAGCCUGGCAUGGCCCCGUCGCAGGCACUCGGACCCCUUUCCUGCCUUUCCAGGCUUCCCCAGAGAGUCUUCCAGUGUGCUUCCUACCCCUCUUACAA